CCCUGCUGGGGUCCUGGAAGGGAGACGAGGGAGGAAAGGAACAGUGUGAGGGAAUCAGGAGCAGCCACAAGGGGGAGACAAAUCUUGGUUACAUGCAGGUCACACCUGCAGUUCACAGUCAACACCUAGCUUGUAUUAAAGCGGUUCCAUUUUUAGGAUUUCAACACAUCCUUGUCAAGCGCUUUGGUGGUGAGUUUGCUGUGAAAGACGCGAAAUGAAAAAGUAAAGCAAACUGAAAUUGAACUGAGCACACAGAGGAAUUAUGUCAAGACCCACCAGCAGGUGGGAGUAGUAAUCCACAAACGCAAAAACUUGUGUAGAAAAAGGAAACUUCUCAGUAUCGCUUCUUUCCUUUUCACUCCUCUAACUAACGCAGCACAUUCAGAAUCAUAGAGGCAUUGCAAUGAACAAAAAGCAAUUUUGUUGAAUGAUCGAGUUUGGCACAGAUAAAUGAUUCAGAUUAUUCAGCUUGGGCUCAGUACAGCAGUGUGUUUUGGGGUCCUCACCACCCCACCAAUUGGGGGGGGGGGUCCUCAGGCGUUGACUUCAGCAGCACACAUUCAGAGCUAUAAAGACAGGAAGCCUGGUGAUGUAAUGACGAUGAUGUAAUCCCAGGGUACUUGGCUGGGUGGUUAUUGUUACUGGGGCUAAUUUCCUGGGGGGGAGGGGGUGUACGUGAUGAAGGACCAUACACUAACAAUUUGCUUCCUGUCUUUCACCCCCCCUCCUUCCACAGCCUCUAAAUUGAAACUAUGUUUGCUUCUGACUUAUUUAAGUAAAUGAACAUCUAUGUAUUUAGCUUUCAGGACAAUGCCAAACAGUGACUUAAUACAAGUACAUGAAUUAACCAGUAAAUGAAAACCAGUUCAGCAGUAGUUCAGCAGUAACUGCUGCCAGCUCCUGGUCUCCCCGCUGAUUCAGACUGGGAUUACACUAUCCAAGUUUCAGAAAAGGUACCGUUCUGGAAAAUAAUGUCACAUGACUCCUUCCAAGCUUCACCAGAUUCUCAGAAUACCCAGACAGUGAGGACAGACUCCUCUCAAACCAUCUUUAUUGGAGAAUCAGAUGUAUCAGUACUUCUAUAUUAAGAAGAAUAAGGGCUGCUUUUGUGCUGCAUGGCAUUAUGGUCUUAUGAUCUUUUAUCUUGUUAACCGCGAAUGGGCGUGAUUAAAGCAUGAGCCUAGAAGCAGGAGUUUGGUGCAGGCUGUGCACCACUAAACAUACCACGAUGGGUGAUUCUAUCACUGACUAGGGUAAGUUGGAACAGGACCAGGGGAGACUGAAAUUCAGACUGUGGGACUCAUAUCAUCAUAUUGAAGCAACAUAUUGAACUGGGGCCAGUAGUGAAACUGCACUUCAAGAUGAUAGCAGUUUUAAAGCCAUCUGAAGACCCCCAAGAAAGACACACCACCUGGUUUCCCAAUCAUGACGGAAAGGCUGGGGGUCACUUUUGGAAAGACUUGAAGUGCGCAGUGAAAGUUCAGUGCAGAAAUACACUGAGUGACUGAAGUUACCCAGGUGGCCCUCCAGCCCUCCCCGGAAAUAGUGGCAUCAGUCCAGAAGAUGAUGAAGAGCUGAUUGGUGGAGGACUUGAGAGUGGGUGGGACCUCCCUGCCACAGAAUUUCCCCAGCAGAGGGGCAAGGGUGUCUGGCCCAUCAUACACUGCCAGGUAGUCAUACUGGCAGGAGGAAGAAGCCUCCAGGUUAAAGGUGUCGAACCUGAGAGAUGGGAAAGCAAAGGAGGGGUUGUCAUGACAACCACUGCGACUUCGCCAAAUUCACUGAGUCACGUAACCUCAUUUACUUGAGAUGGGUAUGCGAUCAAAGACAAAAAACUAGGCAGGUAAGCAAUGACCUCAAAUUUUAGAUAAAUAUACAAUUUCAAGUUUGAUUGUUAAUACACAUCCAUAACCAGAACCCAGCUUCACAAGCCGCCGGACUUUUGCCACCAUGCCCCCUAGUGGCGCGACCAAGAACACUCACUUGAGUUCUAUGACCCUGUUGGUGCCGACGAUGAUGUGGUAGGUGCAGUUGAUGUUGUGGUGGUAGUCGCUGAUGGAGAGGGUGGGGCUGCCCACUGAGCCGGUGCUGCUGUUGAAGAUGCCUCCACAGGCUGUAGGAUCAGGACAGAGCCAUGGAACAUGACAUGCGCCUUCAGGAUAACGCUACAAAAUGACAAUAUUCCUGGAGCUUAACUCAUCACCUGUAUUCAUGUAGCUCUGCUCUCCCAUCUGUACUCAUAUAACUCUAACAUGAUCAUAUAACUCAUAUAACAUGAUUUCCUAUCCAGCGCUGUGUCACUAUGUGCAUGAGCAUGUCCUAGGAAAGGCUGCUCUCUGCCUGGAAAGGCUGCUCUCUGCCUGGAAAGUCUGCUCUCUGCCUGGAAAGGCUGCUCUCUGCCUGCAUUGGUUGCUCUCUGCCUGGAAAGGCUGCUCCCUGCCUGGAAAGGCUGCUCUCUGCCAGCAUAGGUAGCUCCCUGCCUGGAAAGGCUGUUGCUGCAGGACACACACUCAGGCCAAUCAGCUAUUUGCAUGUCUGGAUCGCAGGAGGAAACUGGGGUCCCUGGAGGAAGCCCUCCCACACACACACACCAUCGGGUGGGAUUCGAAAUAAACAAUAAUCGUCAAUCUGC